UCGUUCAGAGAAGGCAUGUCCGGGUUAAUCAUCAAAACUGAGCAAUGAUGACAGUGGUUCCAGGAAAUGCUUGGAUGUUGUUGUUCACAUGCUCAGCGAAUGAUCCCCAGAGCACAACAGUGAGCCAUUCAUCCCUUCAAAUUGAAAAAUGGUACAUCUUCAAAUUCAGUGACAUUGACCAGUUGGCCAACGACGUCUAGAACAAAAACGAUUAUAACAGGUCAGAUGUGCAUCUUAAUUCGUUAUUCUUUUUGCGAAAAUACAAUAAAUAUAAAAAGACCUACCAACCAAGUAGUUGUCAUCCAAAGUACCAUCAAUGAUUU